AGAGACAGCAGUCGCCGCGGGAAUACGUAGGGUGCAAGCGUUAAUCGGAAUUACUGGGCGUAAAGCGUGCGCAGGCGGUUAUAUAAGACAGUCGUGAAAUCCCCGGGCUCAACCUGGGAACUGCGAUUGUGACUGUAUGGCUAGAGUGUGUCAGAGGGGGGUAGAAUUCCACGUGUAGCAGUGAAAUGCGUAGAUAUGUGGAGGAAUACCGAUGGCGAAGGCAGCCCCCUGGGAUAACACUGACGCUCAUGCACGAAAGCGUGGGGAGCAAACAGGAUUAGAUACCCGCGUAGUCCCUGUCUCUUAUAC
rnacentral:rRNA from 1 species